GGAAUUGUUCGCAAUGGGCGCAAGCCUGACGACGCAACGCCGCGUGGAGGAUGAAGGUCUUCGGAUUGUAAACUCCUGUUGCCCGGGACGAAACGCUUCGACCUAACACGUCGAAGUCUGACGGUACCGGGUGAGGAAGCCCCGGCUAACUCUGUGCCAGCAGCCGCGGUAAUACAGAGGGGGCUAGCGUUGUUCGGAAUUACUGGGCGUAAAGGGCGCGUAGGUGGCCUGUUAAGUCGAACGUGAAAUCCCCGGGCUCAACCCGGGAACUGCGUCCGAGACUGGCAGGCUCGAAUCCGGGAGAGGGAUGUGGAAUUCCAGGUGUAGCGGUGAAAUGCGUAGAUAUCUGGAGGAACACCGGUGGCGAAGGCGGCAUCCUGGACCGGUAUUGACGCUGAGGCGCGAAAGCCAGGGGAGCAAACGGGA
rnacentral:misc_RNA from 1 species